UGGGGAAUAUUGCACAAUGGGCGCAAGCCUGAUGCAGCCAUGCUGCGUGUGUGAAGAAGGCCUUCGGGUUGUAAAGCACUUUCAGCGGGGAGGAAGGCGAUAAGGUUAAUAACCUCAUCGAUUGACGUUACCCGCAGAAGAAGCACCGGCUAACUCCGUGCCAGCAGCCGCGGUAAUAUGGAGGGUGCAAGCGUUAAUCGGAAUUACUGGGCGUAAAGCGCCCGCAGGCGGUCUGUCAAGUCGGAUGUGAAAUCCCCGGGCUCAACCUGGGAACUGCAUUCGAAACUGACAGGCUAGAGUCUUGUAGAGGGGGAUAGAAUUCCAGGUGUAGCGGUGAAAUGCGUAGAGUUCUGGAGGAAUACCGGUGGCGAAGGCAGCCCCCUGGACAAAGACUGACGCUCAGGUGCGAAAGCGUGGGGAGCAAACAGG
rnacentral:rRNA from 1 species